rnacentral:lncRNA from 12 species
AUGAAACUGGCAUUCUGGGGAGAGGAGCUGCUUGUCUCUGUCCCAGGUUUAAUUUUGAAAUGCUCCAUUACCAACAGCCUGAAGGAAUGUGUUUUCAGUGUCCUGAGGACUGGAGCAGCUAGCCCAGAAGAGAAAGGAGUUAGGAAUCAGAGAAGAUGCAGAUACUCUCCAGGGGCAGGUGGCAAGGUCCUGGGAGGUGGAGCAAGAGCUCCCUGCCCUGGGGAGCCUGGCCCUCCUGGUCACCGAGAUGGUCACUCGCAGUGGUACCACUAAGCCCACUCGUUGCAGCAUGCAGAUUCAACUCCCAGUUCCGCCUCUUAUUUGAUGUUUAAGCUGGACAAGGCACUUAGCCCCUUUGAGCCUCAGUUUUCUCAUCUGCGAACGAGAAUGAUGACACUAGCCUGUGUCAGAGUCGUUCUGAAAAUUCCAAUGCUACGUUGGUUGACAAAGCAACUUUACAAAUGGGGACGUGCUUCUAAGAAUUGGAGCUUUCCUUAAUUGUGUCGUGCCUCGUCUUUCCCACCUCUACCUCACCUUCUCCAAAGAAACAGUGAGCUCUCUCAGGGCAAGGCCCACAUCUUGUGCGGCGGUGAAACAUAGUGCAAAAUGAGCAGGCUUUGAAAAACAGCGUGCCUGGGCUUCAAUUCUACCCCCAACACAUCCUGGCUGGGGUCACUGUGGGCAAGUUCCUUAACCUGAGACUCAGUUUGCUCUUCCAGAAAAUGAGGGUCCUAACAUUUUUCCCAUAGGAGUGUGGUGAGGAUAAAAUGAAAUAACAGAUUCACAGCGUGUGACACUUAGUGGAUAUUCCAAUGGUUGCUCAUUCUCUUCGUUUACCUUCCCCCAGUACAUUUGCUUAUAUAAUUCCACAGUUUUCAGGACAGGGCUUCUGCACAUGGUGUGUGCCAAAUUAAGGUUGACUUGAUAAAUAAUUGGUACUCUAUAAAUACUUGUUCUAGAUCAGCUGGCUGAUUUAUCUGACCUUGUAGUGCAGCAAAGAGUCAUUUCCCAUAAAGCACUCCAGCCCCCAACCUACUACUCUGUGGGGUAUCCAAAGGGAACUAACAGAAUUAAUAACCAUUAAUCAUCUAUUAAAAGCAAUAAGAUAGGGGUGCCUGGGUGGUUCAGUCAGUUAAGAGUCUGCCUUCAGCUCCCGGUCACGAUCCCAGGGUUCUGGGAUCCAGUCCUGCAUUGGGCUCCCUGCUCAGCGGGGAGUCUGCUUCUCCCUCCUGCUUGUGCUCUCUCUCACUAUCAUUCUCUCUCUCUCUCUCUCAAAUAAAUAAAUAAAAUCUUCAAAAAAAAUAAAGCA